CUGGUCUUGAGUUUUCAUCUUAUGUCAGCCUCUCAAGUAGCUAAGGUUACAGGCACACUCCACUAUGCCAACAAAGUACCUGUUUUGGGGGUUUGGUCUAGUUUUUUUAAGGUACCCGUUCUUAAACCCAGUGGGGCUGCCCCUUAUUCCUUCCCUCAGAGUCUUUUAGAAGGUGCCAUCCCUCUGGAAGUCCCCCGAGUCCAGCCUCCGAAGCACCACAUGGUUGAUGUCAUCUGCUUUACCUGGCCCAGGCCACCUCCUCGUGAGUUCCCGCAGGUACCUUUCCAGGGCAUCCCAGGACAUUCCAGAAACAGGCAGCGGCAAGCCACUCAACCAGUUUGAC
rnacentral:lncRNA from 1 species